rnacentral:rRNA from 1 species
GAUAAACGCUGGCGGCGUGCCUAAUACAUGCAAGUCGAGCGAAUGGAUUAAGAGCUUGCUCUUAUGAAGUUAGCGGCGGACGGGUGAGUAACACGUGGGUAACCUGCCCAUAAGACUGGGAUAACUCCGGGAAACCGGGGCUAAUACCGGAUAACAUUUUGGACCGCAUGGUUCGAAAUUGAAAGGCGGCUUCGGCUGUCACUUAUGGAUGGACCCGCGUCGCAUUAGCUAGUUGGUGAGGUAACGGCUCACCAAGGCAACGAUGCAUAGCCGACAUGAGAGGGUGAUCGGGCAAACUGGGACGGAGACACGGCACAGACUCCUACGGGAGGCAGGAGUAGGGAAUCUUCCGCAAUGGGCGAAAGUCUGACGGAGCAACGCCGCGUGGGUGAUGAAGGCUUUCGGGUCGUAAAACUCUGUUGUUAGGGAAGAACAAGUGCUAGUUGAAUAAGCUGGCACCUUGACGGUACCUAACCAGAAAGCCACGGCUAACUACGUGCCAGCCGCCGCAGUAA